CCUGGUUGAUCCUGCCAGUAGUCAUAUGCUUGUCUCAAAGAUUAAGCCAUGCAUGUGUAAGUAUGAACUAUUUCAGACUAUGAAACUGCGAAUGGCUCAUUAAAUCAGUUAUAGUUUGUUUGAUGGUACGUGCUACUCGGAUAACCAUAGUAAUUCUAGAGCUAAUACGUGCAACAAACCCCGACUUCCAGAAGGGAUGCAUUUAUUAGAUAAAAGGCUAACGUAGGCUUUGCCCGCUGCUCCGAUGAUUCAUGAUAACUCGAUGGAUCGCAUGGCCCUCGUGCCGGCGACGCAUCAUUCAAAUUUCUGCCCUAUCAACUUUCGAUGGUAGGAUAGGGGCCUACCAUGGUGGUGACGGGUGACAGAGAAUUAGGGUUCGAUUCCGGAGAGGGAGCCUGAGAAACGGCUACCACAUCCAAGGAAGGCAGUAGGCGCGCAAAUUACCCAAUCCUGACACGGGGAGGUAGUGACAAUAAAUAACAAUACCGGGCUCUUAGAGUCUAGUAAUUGGAAAGAGUACAAUCUAAAUCCCUUAACGAGGAUCUAUUGGAGGGCAAGUAUGGUGCCAGUAGCUGCGGCAAUUCUAGCUCCAAUAGCGUAUAUUUAAGUUGUUGCAGUUAAAAAGCUAGUAGUUGGACUUUGGGCGGGUCGAUCGGUCCGCCUCGCGGUGUGCACCGGUCGUCCCAUCCCUUUUGUCGGCGAUCGGACCAAUGAUUAAGAGGGACAGUCGGGGGCAUUUAUAUUUCAUAGUCAGAGGUGAAAUUCUUGGAUUUAUGAAAGAUGAACUACUGUGAAAGCAUUUGCAAAGGAUGUUUUCAUUAAUCAAGAACGAAAGUUGGGGGCUCAAAGACAAUCAGAUACCGUCCUAGUCUCAACCAUAAACGAUGCCGACCAGGGAUUGGCGGAUGUUGCUCUUAGGACUCCGCCGGCACCUUAUGAGAAAUCAAAGUCUUUGGGUUCCGGGGGUAGUAUGGUCACAAGGCUGAAACUUAAAGGAAUUGACGGAAGGGCACCACCAGGAGUGGAGCCUGCGGCUUAAUUUGACUCAACACGGGGAAACUUACCAGGUCCAGACAUAGCAACGAUUGACAGAUUGAGAUCUCUUUCUUGAUUCUAUGGGUGGUGGUGCAUGGCCGUUCUAAGUUGGUGGAGCGAUUUGUCUGGUUAAUUCCGACAACGAACGAGACCUCAGCCUGCUAACUCGCUACGCGGAGGCAUCCCUCCGCGGCCAGCUUCUUAGAGUGACUAUGGCCGUUUAGGCCACGAAAGUUUGAGGCAAUAACAGGUCUGUGAUGCCCUUAGAUGUUCUGGGCCACACGCGCGCUACACUGAUGUAUUCAACGAGUCUAUAGCCUUGGCCGACAGGCCCGGGUAAUCUUUGAAAAUUUAAUCGUGAUGGGGAUAGAUCAUUGCAAUUGUUGGUCUUCAACGAGGAAUUCCUAGUAAGCGCGAGUCAUCAGCUCGCGUUGACUAUGUCCCUGCCCUUUGUACACACCACCUGUCGCUCCUACCGAUUGAAUGGUCCGGUGAAGUGUUCGGAUCGAGGCGAUGGGGGUAGUUCACCGCCCGUGACGUCGCGAGAAGUCCACUGAACCUUAUCAUUUAGAGGAAGAAGUCGUAACAAGGUUUCCAUAGGUGAACCUAUGGAGG
rnacentral:rRNA from 1 species